ACUCAGAUGGCCGAGAUACAAAAGCAUUAAACUUUUAAUUUAAAAAACAACAUAUAAUGUUUCUGAGCU
rnacentral:tRNA from 1 species